CCUGCUUGUUUGUUUCCUGCAACAAGAUGGCUGCCGUUCCAGAGAGCAGAGUUCUUACUUUCAGCCUUUUUAAAUGGAGCUCUUACUCCUCCACAUAUUUACCCGAGAACAUUUUGGUGGACAAACCGAAUGAUCAGUCCUCCAGGUGGUCUUCUGAGAGCAACUACCCUCCACAGUUUUUAGUCUUGAAACUGGAAAGGCCUGCGAUUGUUCAGAGCAUCACCUUUGGGAAAUAUGAGAAGACGCACGUCUGCAACCUGAAGAAAUUCAAAGUGUUUGGUGGGAUGAGUGAAGAAAACAUGACGGAUCUUUUGUCCAGUGGCCUUAAAAACGACUACAACAAGGAAACUUUCACCUUAAAGCACAAGAUUGACGAGCAAAUGUUUCCCUGCAGAUUUGUCAAAAUAGUGCCUCUGAUGUCAUGGGGGCCCAGUUUCAACUUCAGCAUUUGGUACAUUGAGCUACAUGGCAUUGAGGAUCCAGAUGUGGUGCAGCCCUGCCUUAACUGGUACAGCAAGUACAGAGAACAGGAAGCCAUCCGCCUCUGCCUCAAACACUUCCGUCAGCAUAACUACACCGAGGCCUUUGAGUCGCUGCAGAAGAAGACCCGGAUCGCACUUGAACACCCGAUGCUGACCCACCUGCACGAGCGACUGGUGCUGCAAGGAGACUUCGACGCCUGCGAAGACCUCAUAGACAAAGCCGUAAGAGACGGUUUGUUUAACCAGUACAUCAGCCAGCAGGAGUACAAGCCCAGGUGGAGUCAGAUCAUCCCCAAAUGCAACAAAGGUACAAGCGCCCAAGAAAGCAACAGGGACGACGUGAACAGUGAUGCUGACGACAACAGGCCAGGGAUGAGGGGAGGACAUCAGAUGGUUAUUGACGUCCAGACCGAGACGGUCUACCUCUUUGGGGGCUGGGACGGCACACAGGACCUGGCUGACUUCUGGGCUUACAGUGUGCAGGAAAACCAGUGGGUGUGCAUCUCCAAGGACACUGAGAAAGAGAGCGGUCCCAGCGCCCGCUCCUGCCACAAGAUGUGUAUCGACUCCCAGCGACGUCAGAUCUACACACUAGGCCGCUACCUGGACUCCAGCGUGAGGAACAGCAAGUCCCUGAAGAGUGACUUUUACCGCUACGACAUCCACGUCAACACCUGGACACUCCUGAGCGAGGACACGUCGGCGGACGGAGGGCCCAAGCUAGUGUUCGACCACCAGAUGUGUAUGGACUCUGAAAAGCACAUGAUCUACACCUUCGGCGGACGCAUACUGACGUGCAACGGAAGCGUGGAGGACAGCCGCACGUCCGAGCCCCAGUUCAGCGGCCUCUACGCCUACCACUGCCAAGCCGGCACGUGGAGCCUCCUGCGGGAAGACUCCUGCAACGCCGGCCCAGAGGACAUCCAGUCCCGUAUUGGACACUGCAUGCUCUUCCACACUAGAAACCGCUGUCUUUAUGUGUUUGGCGGUCAGAGGUCAAAGACCUACCUCAAUGAUUUCUUCAGCUACGACGUGGACGGGGACCAUGUGGAGAUCAUAUCUGAUGGCACUAAGAAGGACUCGGGCAUGGUGCCAAUGACCGGCUUCACCCAGAGAGCCACCAUCGACCCCGAGCUCAACGAGAUCCACGUCCUGUCAGGCCUCAGUAAGGACAAAGAUAAACGCGAGGAGAACGUCCGCAACUCUUUUUGGAUUUACGACAUCGCCCGUAACAACUGGUCUUGCGUGUACAAGAACGACCAAGUCGUGAAAGAAAACUCCAGCAAGGUCCUGCAGGAGGAGGAGCCGUGUCCACGCUUUGCACACCAGCUGGUCUACGACGAGAUGCACAAGGUGCAUUACUUGUUUGGCGGCAACCCAGGGAAAUCUUGUUCUCCAAAGAUGCGCCUGGAUGACUUCUGGUCGCUCAAAUUGUGCCGACCCUCCAAGGAGUACCUCCUCCGCCACUGCAGAUACCUCAUCAGGAAGUACAGGUUCCAAGAGAAAGCCCAAUCUGAGCCACUGAGCGCGCUCAAAUACUUGCAAGAUGACCUCUCGCUCACUGUGGACCACACAGACCCCCAGGAGACUAAAGAGUUUCAGCUCCUGCCCUCGGCUCUCUUCAAGUCCAGCAACGAUUUCAUCCCCCUUGGGUUCUCCGACAUGGACCAGACGUACGCCCAGCGCACUCAGCUCUUUGACACCCUGGUCAACUUCUUCCCUGACAGCAUGACGCCGCCCAAGGGCAACCUGGUGGACCUCAUCACCCUCUAGCCCCUCCCUCACACGACAGACUCCUCCUCCACCUUACCAAACACACACACACACACACACACACACACACACACACACACACACACACACACACACACACACACACACACACACACACACACACACACACACACACACACACACACACACACACACACACACACACACACACACACACACACACACACACACACACACACACACACACACACACACACACACACACACACACACGGGGCAGAGAGAGAGUGAAGGACAGCAGGUAUUUCUCUGACCAACAACAACUGUUAGUGUUCAAGACCCCCACCCUCUCCUAGCAGUAGAUGACAUACAUCCAUGUAGAAAAGUGUCUUGUGGAUGGAAGCUGUGCUAGCUAGCAGGCUACUGUCUCUAGGUUCUACCAUGUGUGUUCUCCUCCUACUGUCUGUGGGUUCUACCAUGUGUGUUCUCCUCCUACUGUCUGUAGGUUCUACCAUGUGUGCUCUCCUCCUACUGUCUGUAGGUUCUACCAUGUGUGUUCUCCUACUGUCUGUGGGUUCUACCAUGUGUGUUCUCCUCCUACUGUCUGUGGGUUCUACCAUGUGUGUUCUCCUCCUACUGUCUGUAGGUUCUACCAUGUGUGUUCUCCUCCUACUGUCUGUGGGUUCUACCAUGUGUGUUCUCCUACUGUCUGUGGGUUCUACCAUGUGUGUUCUCCUCCUACUGUCUGUAGGUUCUACCAUGUGUGUUCUCCUACUGUCUGUGGGUUCUACCAUGUGUGUUCUCCUACUGUCUGUAGGUUGUACCAUGUGUGUUCUCCUCCUACUGUCUGUAGGCUCUACCAUGUGUGUUCUCCUCCUACUGUCUGUAGGUUCUACCAUGUGUGUUCUCCUCCUACUGUCUGUGGGUUCUACCAUGUGUGUUCUCCUACUGUCUGUAGGUUCUACCAUGUGUGUUCUCCUCCUACUGUCUGUAGGUUCUACCAUGUGUGUUCACCUCCUACUGUCUGUAAGUUCUACCAUGUGUGUUCUCCUCCUACUGUCUGUGGGUUCUACCAUGUGUGUUCUCCUCCUACUGUCUGUGGGUUCUACCAUGUGUGUUCUCCUCCUACUGUCUGUAGGUUCUACCAUGUGUGUUCUCCUCCUACUGUCUGUGGGUUCUACCAUGUGUGUUCUCCUCCUACUGUCUGUGGGUUCUACCAUGUGUGUUCUCCUCCUACUGUCUGUAGGUUCUACCAUGUGUGUUCUCCUCCUACUGUCUGUGGGUUCUACCAUGUGUGUUCUCCUCCUACUGUCUGUAGGUUCUACCAUGUGUGUUCUCCGCCUACUGUUUGGAAACCAUUCAUUUCCGUCAUGCCGCGUUUGCAUCCCAAGCAACAGUCCAAUAAUGUAUAUUCCAUGUGCCAGGAUGCUACUUUGUGCACAUAACUACUCCCUCGCUUAUCGCUCUUAAUUGGCUCCGGACAUAUCAUUCAUCAACCUUCUAAUGAACAAUUUGACAGCUUUUUAGUCACAAAAUAUUACACUCUUUCAUCCAACCUAGUAAUGCUGCUUGAGGCUGAGCCAAUCAGUGGCCAGCAUACUGAACAGUGGUUUACUCUCAUCUGUUGGCCAGUACUACUGUAGUCUUGACAUGUUUAUGCUUAUGUAGCUCUAAAAAAUUGUAGAAUAUAUAUAUAAAUAAAACAUGUCAAUACUACUGUAGUCUUGACAUGUUUAUGCUUAUGUAGCUCUAAAAAAUUGUAGAAUAUAUAUAUAAAUAAAACAUGUCAAUACUACUGUAGUCUUGACAUGUUUAUGCUUAUUUAGGUCUAACUAAUGCUUGAAAAAAGUUUUGAAUACAAUCCCAUGUGGCGAGGGACGACUGUACAUCAAUUUAUUUGGAUCCAACCUUCAGAUUAUAGAACAUUACAGAGAUAUAUUUUGGUCAAAUAUGACUUUUUAUGCUCCAGCCUCACUCACUAGCGCUGAAUAAGAGUUGGGAUCCAUGCUGCCAAUAAAUCAGUUGUGUGAAUAAUUGUAGCAGGUUUUAUUCACCCUGCAGAUAAUACUUUGAUGGUACUGUAGUAUUAUUGAAACACUAUUUGGGCCACACUGAACAGAAAAGGAUUCUUUCUAAAGUCGGUCGUCGUUAAUUGACCUCAAACUAGAAGCUUCUUUCAAACCUGCCACCUUUUACUAUUUUGUUGUUGUGACUGUUCUCAUGUUUACAGUUUUUGUUAUGUUAGGUUGUAUUUUUAUUCUAAUAAUGUUAUUAAGACUCCUUUCUUUCUCGUUAAAUCAUGACAAAGCUUUGUGGUAAAAUGUCUUCUUUAAAAAAUGGGACUUUUCUUAAUACUGACAAUACAAUAUUCAGACUUUAGACACGUAAAAUGACAAUUUUCCUCCUACAAUAUUGUUGUUUUAAAAGCCCGUUCCAUAGUUGAGUUACAAACUUUUCCUUUUAUGAAUACAGCCUUUUUCUUGACGUCCUGUAAUAUUAUGACUAUUUUGUCAGAAACGGCUGUUCAUAAUUAUUUUGUCACGAUGAGUUUAUUACGAUAAUAUCAUUAAUGUUUUCUUGUAUUGUCUUAGACUUUUUCCCCUAAAACCUUAACCCUACCCUCUUUUCAGAAUACAUAAUGUCUUAAUAUUGCAACCAAUGAAAUUCUCAUCAUUUCUACUAGGAAAAUGACUUGAGUAUUUUUCCCAUAAAAAAUGUUUCCUUGUAUUGGUCUCAAUAAAUGACACCUUAAUGACAAUACAUGUUUACUUUUUGUAAACAAUAUUAUUCCUCAUCAAAUUCAGUGUCACAAAUUUAUGUUAGAAUGUUGCUCACUAAAUGUAAAGAUGAAAUACAAAAGACUGGUAAAGUUGUGACUUCACAACCUCAUCGUCAUAUUCUCACUUUAUUCUGACAAAAUGAUAACUAUAUAACCCCUCUACUGUUAUACUUUUCUGUUCAGUGUGGCUUUAAGCGUCAGUGGUGUAACGACUGUAAUAUGAAUACUAGUCUUUUGCAUUAACACUGGUCAUGUUGGUGUUUUGUUGUCUGCAAAAGCUAUCAGAAAUAAUCAUAUUGUAAAAAAAACUAAAGCACCUUUGUUUCAAAACAAUGCCAAAUAUGAAAUGCUGUUUUCGGGGUUUCCUUAAAUUCCCCUCUCAUUCUUCUCUGUGGAGAAGUGGGCUGCCCUCACCUGUGCCAGCACUUCUCCAUGGCCUUGUAGUAUUGCAUUGUAUGUAAUGUACAUAAGGAAUAAAGAUUGUAUUUUCUUCA